AACACUUCCCUCACUUCACCCUGCUUUAACUGCAGUUAUAUUGCUGCUCACAGCCCCUACAGGUGAGGCUAAUGACCUCGUUAGGCAGUGAGCCAGAACUCUAUGGGAAACCUGGGCUGGACUCAUGCACAACCACUCUGACAGUGGGUGGAGAAUCGGCCCACCCUGCUCUUCCGAAUACUCCACCCCAGGGACCCAAAUAACAAGAGGAAAAAAAAACUAAAUUUAAAC